GUGCCAGCCGCCGCGGUAAUACCGGCAGCCCGAGUGAUGGCCGAUAUUAUUGGGCCUAAAGCGUCCGUAGCUGGCCGACCAAGUCUAUCGGGAAGUCCACCCGCCCAACGGGUGGGCGUCCGGUAGAAACUGGCCGGCUUGGAACCGGAAGGCUCAGAGAGUACGUCCGGGGUAGGAGUGAAAUCCCGUAAUCCCGGACGGACUACCGAUGGCGAAAGCACUCUGAGAAGACGGCUUCGACAGUGAGGGACGAAAGCUCGGGUCUCAAACCGGAUUAGAAACCCGAGUAGUCC
rnacentral:rRNA from 1 species